rnacentral:pre_miRNA from 1 species
UGUCACCCUCGGGUCUUUUUGCGGUCUGGGCUUGCUGUCCCUCCCCCCAGCACUCAGGAAGCCCUUACCCCAAAAAGGAUCCGCGGGGGACA